UGGCGAACGGGUGAGUAACGCGUGAGGAACCUGCCUCAAAGAGGGGGACAACAGUUGGAAACGACUGCUAAUACCGCAUAAGCCCACGACCCGGCAUCGGGUAGAGGGAAAAGGAGCAAUCCGCUUUGAGAUGGCCUCGCGUCCGAUUAGCUAGUUGGUGAGGUAACGGCCCACCAAGGCGACGAUCGGUAGCCGGACUGAGAGGUUGAACGGCCACAUUGGGACUGAGACACGGCCCAG
rnacentral:rRNA from 1 species